CAAUCGGCCCUUUUCAGGGCCACCACAUUUCUAUAACGUAUGAUA
rfam:Nasonia vitripennis chromosome 5 unlocalized genomic scaffold Chr5_random001, whole genome shotgun sequence.